CCUCAAGGAAAUGGAAGAAUCCCAAUGGAUUCCGUUCUUGACUACUGGAUUGAAGUUCCAUCUUUUACAAGAGUCAGGAAUUGGCAUUUUCAAAACUGGGUGACUCUUUGCUGCACAAUUCAGCCAGUGCUCAGUGACUGAUGUGAUCUCUGCUGGCUUUGGGCAGAAGUGCUCUGAGGCUACCAGCCCUUCAAGGAUGCACACAUUUAGAGCUUCUGAAGAUCUCUGGCAAUAUUCUGCACAGAUUAGAAAUGGGAAUCGCUGACUUCAACCAGCAGUAGAGAAACACUGUGCUUGGGAUGUCCCAGAGAUGGCUUUAAUCCGACAUAGAUAAAUUAUAUGCAAAUCAAAGGAAGAUGGAGGAAUGAUGUUUUAUGCUGGAGUGCUACUAAAGAACUAAAAGUAGUAUCAGAAUUGAAAGGAACUUGAAACAAAACUUGUUUUUAUUAUCAAAAAGCAGAAGUUAAUUCAGAUUUAAAUUAUCAGUACUGUAUUACAUAAGCAGGCCAU